rnacentral:tRNA from 1 species
GGGCCCGUGGCUUAGUCUGGUCACUCGCCUGGGUUGUACCUGGGCGAUGGGAUAAUGGAGCGCUCGACUGAUAGCAUAUCAGUCAGCAAUCGAGUGGUCGGCGGUUCAAAUCCGCUCGGGCCCA